rnacentral:rRNA from 1 species
CCCCUAGAUGUUCUGGGCCGCACGCGCGCUACACUGAACAGUUCAACAAGUCUUAACCUUGGCCGAUAGGUCUGGGUAAUCUUUGAACGCUGUUCGUGAUUGGGAUAGACCUUUGCAAUUAUGGGUCUUCAACGAGGAAUUCAUAGUAAACGCAAGUCAUCAGCUUGCAUUGAUUACGUCCCUGCCCUUUGUACACACCGCCCGUCGCACCUGCCGAUUGAAUGGUCCGGUGAAAUCUCGGGACGGCGGCUUGGUCGCUUGCGUCCGACUGCUGAAACUUGAUUAAACCAUAUCAUUUAGAGGAAGGUGAAGUCGUAACA